ACUCCUGUAGCCCAAUUGGUAGAGGCGGCUGUCUUAGAAACAGUCCGGGUGUGGGUUCGACUCCCACCAGGAGUA
rnacentral:tRNA from 1 species